UACAGAGGGUGCGAGCGUUAAUCGGAAUUACUGGGCGUAAAGCGCGCGUAGGCGGCUUUGUAAGUUAGAGGUGAAAGCCCGGGGCUCAACCCCGGAACUGCCUUUAAGACUGCAUCGCUUGAAUCCAGGAGAGGUGAGUGGAAUUCCGAGUGUAGAGGUGAAAUUCGUAGAUAUUCGGAAGAACACCAGUGGCGAAGGCGGCUCACUGGACUGGUAUUGACGCUGAUGUGCGAAAGCGUGGGGAGCAAACAGG
rnacentral:rRNA from 1 species